AAAUUCGCAAGACCAGUCCCAGUGUUAUGCAUGAUAAAUAACCAUUUAAUUGACUACAUCUAUCAAACGCAAAGCCAGAGGAUUUUGCGAUGGAAUAACACUGUUAUGAAUCCACAUGCCCUUCAAACAUAUGCUGAUGCCAUCACAACAAAGGGAUCCCCGCUACAACACUGUUUUGGCUUUAUUGACGGAACAGUAAGAGCGAUAAGCAAACCAGGUGUACACCAGCAGGUGCUGCACAAUGGGCAUAAGCGAGUGCAUGCCAUCAAAUUCAAAUCAGUCGUCCUCCCUAAUGGGACUAUUGGAAACAUCCCCUUCCGGAUCCACCCUCUGCAUGGGUAGAAAAGAGGGAAAGCGCCAUGAUACUGAGAUGCUUCACGAUUCUCGCCUCUUGGAUGAUCUACAACAGCAUGCAUUCCUGCCUGGAUCUGCUCGGCUCCCUGUGUGCGUGUAUGGGGAUCCAGCUAACCGCUACGAUUGCAUCUCCAGGCUCCAUUCAGAGACAGUGUGCUCACACCGCAGAUGCAACAAUUUAACAUUGCAAUGAGCCCUCUCAGAGUCUCUGUUGAUUGAUUGUUUGGUGAUAUAGUAAAUUAUUUCAAGUUCAUUGAUUUCAAGAAGAACCUUAAGAUUGGUCUGUCAUCAGUUGGUAAAAUGUACCUAGUCUGUGCUUUAUUUAGGAAUGCUCUAACAUGUGUAUAUGGAAAUACAACCUUUGAUUUCUUUGAGCUGGAUCCCCCCCUCACUGUAAGACUAGUUUACCUAACAUAUGUAAUUCACAGAGAUGCCCCAUUUCAUUACUUAGAAUGAAUUGGACUCAAAUCAAACUGAUGAUUUAUGGAUCAACACUUUAUUGAAAGAGCACAACAUUUGAAGUAUGAUGUAUGAAUCAUGAAUUUAUCACGUGCAUUUUACCCGAAAUGUGAAAAGUUUAUGUAUGUUAUAUGUAAUGUAUCAAAACCCUUUGAUCAGUUUGGGGAUUGACAUAACUGUUCUCAAUAAUUUUAUGAGAGCAUGGGGGGCAGGGGAGUAAAAUUUGAUGCUGA